UCAAAGAAAUGAUACAUGUUCAAGGCGAUGGAUAUCCUAAAUACCCUGAUUUGAUCAUUACACAUUCUAUGGCUGUGUCAAGAUAUCACAGAUACCCCAUAAAUAUGUGUAAUUAUUAUGUAUCAAAAACUUUAUAUAAAAAACAUUAAUUUGCUGUAUUUUUGAUUCUACAAUUGGGCAGCACUUUAUUCCAUAAAAUAGAAUGAGUGUUCUGAUGAGCCAAGAAGAGGAGGUUGGUUUUACAGACAGAAAAGGGCUGUGGAAAGCAGAAAAAAACAAACAAAAAAAAUGUGGAUUGGUCAUUUCAAAGUUUCUUUUCAUGUAAAGGUUAAAGCAGAGGGGACUUUCUUGUCCUGCUGGCACUGGAUCUAGGUCAGUGUUGGAGACGAUGUCUGGGACUCAGGGCCUUCGCAGAUCACAGAGGCUGGUCUUGCACAACCUCUAAGAGGCCAGGCCAGGCCAUGGCUUACCUAAGAGCUCAGCCCAGGGAAGCCCUAGGUCCUUUCCUGGCAUCUUAGAGGGAACCAUGUCUUACUGGCUCAGGCUAGACUUGCACAUUAAUCCACUGAGUUGACUUUGGAUCUUACAGGCUCAAAGGGUGGUCUUUGGGAGCAGGAAGUGAUCAGGACCCUGGUCAGAUUCAUAUAUCUGCAACUGAGCCCACUCAAAGAAAUAAAUAGAAAAAUUACAUAUUUUUGGUUAUUUGCCUUAAUGUCACAGAUUACCAUUAGGCCAAAGAUCUUCUGAGGUAUAUGCGUACAAGGUGAUUUUUUAGUGUUUUUUUUUUUAAAUUCUCUCUUUUUCUAUAAAUUUUAAUGAUGACUUGAGUAUAAAACAAGAUGAUCCACUCUGCAGCACCAAAGGUGGGCAAGAGAAGAGAUCAGAAUCUGGUAUGAGACUGAAAAUCACUGUGGCAACCAGCUUCAGUGGGGCAGCUGGGGUUGGCUCUGAAGAAAGUCUGUUCCAUUUGUAUAGCAGACAGGAGCCCAUGGGGUUCCCAUCAGCUAGCACUGGGAGUGGACUUCAGAGGCUGCACGGGCUGCUGUUGGACUGGUCUAGGGGACGGGGGAGGAGGGAAGAUGCCUGUGAGGCAAGGCAGAAGGGCUUCUAGACCUCAGACUGAGGGUCAGGGAAGACCUAUCUUCCUAAAGGUGUUGGGGAAUAGUUAGGCUAGCAGAUCAGAACAGGUCAAAAGAAUAAGCACUAUGGUAGAGGCUAUUGUGGGUUUGGGGAAGGGGAGAGAGAAUAAAGGGAGGAGAGAUCUGCAGCUUGUGUGCCUACACUGUUUCUCAGAAGCCUAGGCCUGGGAGCUGGUUAGCAGCAAGAACACACAAUAGGGAAAGCCCCGUAAUUGUCCUGGCUCCUGGCACUGGGAGACUGACUUAGUUCUCAUGGCGAGGAGCUCUCUGAGAGUAUCACCCGGGCAGAAAUGUAAGGAGCACACCUGGUUUUGGCCAGUCAUUGCCAUGUUUGCAAUAACAUGGCUGUGGGCCAAUAUCAUUAGGCAACUUUGUGACUUGGUCAUUGAGCAAUGAUCGAGGUCCUAUUUGAAAGCUAAGGUCAAGCUUAUGAAGCAAUGCCAGCUUGUAACAUCGUGCAGGUUUAUUUAACACAGAUGAAACCAAGACAUAUCUUUACCAUCCAGGAGUAAAUUAUCCCAGGCACAGGGAAAGAUGAAGUAGGAAUGUUUCUUUUGGUGUCUUCCAUGUCUAGUUUCAGAGACCCCAUUCAGCUCCCAUCUCACUCUGUAUCUCACCCCUGGCCUGUGCUCUAUUCUCUCAGGGCCACGAUCCUUCCUUUAGUCUUCCUCCAUCUCUCCAUCCCUCUUUCCUUCCUUCUUUCCUCAAAUAUAUUUUUUGAAACAGUACUCAGGAUUUUAUUUGUUUAUGUUUUAAUUUCAACUUUUAUCAUAGAUUAAAGGGUACACAUGCAGGUUUAUUACAUGGGUAAAUUGCAUCACCCUGAGGCUUGGGAUCCCAAUGAUCCCAUCACCCAGGGAAUAAGUAUAGGACGCAACAGGUGGCACUCCAGCCCAUGCCCCCUGCUCCCUUCCUUCCCCAUCUAGUGAUCCCCAGUGCCUAUUGUUCCCAUCUUCGUGAUCAUGUGUCUUCAACGUUUAGGCCCCACUUACAAGUGAUAACAUGCAAUAUUUUGUUUUAGGUUCUUACAUUAGGUCAUUUAUGGAGGUCAUAAUGCCUUCCACCUCCAUCCAUGUUGCGAAAGGACAUGAUUUCAUUCUUUUUUAUGGCUGCAUAGUAUUCCAUGGUGUAUUUGUACCUCAUUUUCUCUCUCCAAUCCACUGUUGAUGGGCUCUUAGGUUGAUUCCAUGUCCUUGCUAUUGUGAAUGGUGCUGCAGUGAACAUAGGAGCAUAUGUGUCUUUAAGAUAGGAUGAAUUACUUUCCUUUGGGUAUAUACUCAGUAGUGGGAUUGCUGGGUCUAAUGGUUGUUCUAUUUUGAGUUCCUUGAGAAAUCUCCAAACUGUCUUCCACAGUGGCUCAACUAGUUUGUGUUUCCAUUAAGAGCAUAUAAGCUUUCCCCUUUCCUCUGCAGCCUCACCAGCAACUCUUAUUUUCUGUCUUUUUAAUAAUAGCCAUUCUGACUGGUGUGAGAUGUUAUCUCAUUGUGGUUUUGAUUUGUAUUUCUCGAAAUUAUGGAAUGCUGCAUAAAUUUGUGUGUCAUCCUUGUGAAGGGGCCGUGCUAAUGUUCUCUGUAUUGUUCCAGUUUUAGUACAUGUACUGCCGAAGCGAGCACUUGAAUAUUUUUUGAGCACCCGGUAUGUGCCAAGGGUAGAGCAGAAAGUCUCUUCUCCCAUGGGUCUUAUAUUCUAGUCAGGCGAGACUUACUACAAACAAACAUAGAGCCAUUGAACAUAUCAGGUGGUAAAAGGUGCCACGAAGGAAAAUGAAAUAGGGGAAAGGUACACUCAGCAUGUCCAGGAAAGACUGGUCUGACAGGAUGCUCUCUGAGGAGAGCCUUGGAAGCAGUGAAGGGGAAGCCAGAUGGGUAUGUGGGGGCGAAAACAAGGGGGGCCCAAGGCCUCAGGUGGGAGCCAUUCUCGAAUCAGCAGGGAGGCCUGUGUGGCCUCACUGCUGAGUCAGACAGAGAGGAGGUGGGAAGAGAUGAGGUCAGAGGGAACUGAGGGUCAGAUGGUAUGGUAAGAGCUGGCUGUAUCUGACUCAGCUUCAGGAAUUUGCCUUCCCAGGGUCAGUUUUCUUAGUGGCUUCUUAAUUACUGAAGAUACAUCAAAACUAAAAUGAAUGAAUCUGAAGUGUCCUUUCAAUUUUGGGGGAGAAAUACUUGAACAAGGGGCACCUCCCUUCAAACCCCACAGCUACCCAUCAAAUAAGAGAACCCAUUGCAGAACCAGAAGGGACAUCAUCCAAGCUGUCUGAAAUCCCGGUUGGUACUCCAGGCUUCAACAACUGCAGCACAAUGAGAGACAGCAAAGAACAUCCUGGCCUUUGACAACCCCCUGUCUUCUAACAUACUGAGGUUAAUCAGACCGAGGACAAUUUGGAAGGGGCUCUCUGCCACAACUUGGGGAGUGGAGGUAGGGAAGGCCAUAGGAGCCCCAGCAGGUAGGCCACAUAGCCUGAGUUAUGGAAUCUAACUCCAGUCUGUCUUCCAAAUAUUUCUGGGGUGUCAGAUCUAUGGUAGCCUGAGAGGCAUAUUCUGAAGCCAUUUCCCUCCUAGAGAUCUCGGACUUCUUUCAGCUUCUUGAUGUUAUUACACUAAGAGAAUAUGAACACCUCCUUACAGCAAAUGCUGUAGUUAUAAAACAGUUCACCAAAGAACCUAUGUUUCCUUGAAAACCAAAAGACAAUGCAAAAAGAAAAAUCAUUUUAAAAAAGAUCUUCAAAAAAGGCUUGAUAAUUGCAUAAUUUAAAGGACCCCAGGGAAGUCUCAAUGCUACAUAGGUCCUGGGAGAAGGCACCUGAACUACAUGCCUUGGUGAACUGCAUUUCUUUUAGCUUCUCUGCUUGGAAUCAUGAGGUCCCUAGCGUAUGCUGAAUUUUGAAGGCUGAUGAGCGUUUUGGGCUCUUCCCUGCUGACAUCACCCUAUUUCCUUGGGGACCCCAGGCUCUCAGCUGUAGAAGACUCUCAGACAGACACACAUUGCCCAAACAUGCUACCCUGCACACGUGCUAAACUCUGAGGCUCCUGUGGAGUUGUGUGUCGUACUCCUCAGCUCCAGACCACUGUGUCCUGCCCUGGCCUCCACCCAGCCCUGAUGGAGGCCCCAACAUAUGUGCCUCAACCCACACAGGCCCCAGAGUUUGGCAAAGUGUCCCACACGCAAUAACUUUUGAGUCAGUGGUGCCUGCCCACCCACCUGCCCCCACCCCCACCUUCCCCACCAUCUGCAAUGUCUGUCUUGGAGCCUACUGAUGAACUAAUUAAUGUAUCUUACAUAUUCCUGAUACGGUAAAUUCAUGGGCUCAGGGAAGCGUAUUUUGUAUUUUUUCUAAUUUGUGCUUCCCCUGGACAGUUCACCAAUACCCUGCUGCAGGUGCUUACAUUUAAUGUCAUCAGGAAGCAGUGAAUAUAAAUGUGCAAUAAAUGCGCAGCUGUCCUUGGGUUCUGCACAAGCAGUACUUUAAAAGUAAAUAAUGAGCUAAAAGAACAAACUUAGAGGGUAAUUUCCAACCUCCUUCCUGUCUCUAACACCAUGAAGUUUCACUGUAUCGGUUGCAUCUUUUGGCAUUGUUCAUAUACUACGUGCCUGGAUUCUGUUUCUUGAACUUGUUGGGAAAUGGAAUCAUACUGGGGAUGGCUCCGAGUUCCUUAUAACCAUAGCAUUAGUUUCAGAGUGUUCCCUAUAGUAAUAAUAAAAAGCUUCAAAACAUGCUGAAAAUGUUUUAGAACAUGGUAGCUUCAAAGACGUUUGUUAAAAGGAUAGGCUGGUCUGCAUGGUGGCUGUUUUACUGCUUUUCUAAACUUGGGUGAACCCCUGGAGGAGAAGCCCCAAACAGGGUAGUUCCACCAGCCCAGGAUGCAGCAAGGUGGACAAAUCACAGGUCUGCUGGAGACAAGUGGUCAAGAGAGCAUGGGUCACUGCUGAGCAGAGCCGGGGUCAGGCAGGUUGAAGGAAAGGCACAAGCAAAGGACACCUCUCUGUCUGCCAUAAUGCCAAGGUCAUGCUUCUGCUGCCUGGAACUUACUUUCUGUCAGGCAGGAGAGACUCAUAUUUCUUCUCUUUAAGACAGGACGGGGGAGGAGCCAAGAUGACCGAAUAGGAACAGCUUCGGUCCACAGCUCCCAGCGUGAGCGAUGCAGAAGACGGGUGAUUUCUGCAUUUCCAACUGAGAAAUCUGGAAAAAAGAAGCACAAACUAAGAGAUUAAAAUCAUCUACAAUUCCAUCAUGCAGAGGAAACUACAGGGGCUUUGGAACUGCACAUAGAAAAACUAUGACUUCCUCAGGAUACAAAAUCAAUGUGCAAAAAUCCCAAGCAUUCCUAUACACCAGCAAUAGACAAGCAGAGAGCCAAAUCAUGAGUGAAUCUCAUUCACAAUUGCUACAAAGAUAAUAAAAUACCUAGGAAUACAACUUACAAGGGAUGUGAAGGACCUCUUCAAGGAGAACUAUAAACCACUGUUCAAGGGAAUAAGAGAGGACAUAAACAAAUGGAAAAACAUUCCAUGCUCAUGGAUAGGAAGAAUCAAUAUCAUGAAAAUGGCCAAAGUAAUUUAUAGAUUCAAUGCUAUUCUCAUCAAGCUACCAGUGACUUUCUUUACAGAAUUAGAAAAAACUACUUUAAAUUUCAUAUGGAACCAAAAAGGAGCCUGUAUAGCCAAGACAGUUCUAAGCAAAAAGAUUAAAGAUGGAGGCAUCAUGCUACCUGACUUCAAACUAUACUACAAGGCUACAGUAACCAAAACAGCAUGGUACUGAUACCAAAACAGAUAUAUAGACCAAUAGAACAGAACAGAGACCUCAGAAAUAACACCACACAUCUACAACCAUCUGCUAUUCAACAAACUUGACAAAAACAAGCAGUGGGGAAAGGACUCCCUAUUUAAUAAACGGUGCUGGGAAAACUGGCUAGCCAUAUGCAGAAAACAGAAACUGGACCCCCUCCUUAUACAAAAAUUAACUCAAGAUGGAUUAAAGUCUUAAAUGUAAAACCCAAAACCAUAAAAGCCCUAGAGGAAAACCAAGGCAAUACCACUUAGGACAUAGGCAUGGGCAAAGACUUCAUGACUAAAACACCAAAAGCAAUUGCAACAAAAGCCAAAAUUGACAAAUGGGAUCUAAUCAAACUAAAGAGCUUCUGCACAGCAAAAGAAACUAUCAUCAGAAUGAACAGGCAACCUACAGAAUGGGGGAAAAUGUUUGCAAUCUAUCCAUCUGACAAAGAGCUAAUAUCCAGAAUCCACAAGGAACUUAAACAAAUUUACAAGAAAAAAACAACCCCAUCAAAAAGUGGGCAAAGGAUAUGAACAGACACUUCUCAAAAGAAGACAUUUAUGUGGCCAACAAACAUAUGAAAAAAAGCUCAUCAUCACUGGUCAUUAGAGAAAUGCAAAUCAAAACCACAAUGAGACACCAUCUCACGUUAGUUAGAAUGGUGAUUAUUAAAAAGUCAGGAAACAACAGAUGCUGGCGAGGCUGUGGAGAAAUAGGAACGCUUUUACACUGUUGGUGGGAGUGUAAAUUAGUUCUGUUGUGGAAGACAGUGUGGCAAUUCCUUAAGGAUCUAAAAUCAGAAAUACCAUUUGACCCAGCAAUCCCAUUAAUGGGUAUAUACCCAAAGGAUUAUAAAUCAUUCUACUAUAAUGACACAAGGACAUGUAUGUUUGUUGCAGCACUAUUUACAAUAGCAAAGACUUGGAACCGACCCAAAUAGCCAUCAAUGAUAGACUGCAUAAAGAAAAUGUGCCAUAUAUACAUCAUGGAAUACUAUGCAGCCAUAAAAAAGAAUUCGUGUUCUUUGCAGGGACAUGGAUGAAACCGGAAGCCAUCAUUCUCAGCAAACUACCACAGGAACAGAAAACCAAACACUUCAUGUUCUCACUUAUAAGUUGGAGUUGAACAAUGAGAACACAUGGACACAGGGAGGGGAACAUCACACACUGGGGCCAGUCGGGAAGUGGGGGCCAAGGGAAGGGAGAGCAUUAGAAAAAAUACCUAAUGCAUGCGGGGCUUAAAACCUAGAUGACAGGUAGAUAGGUGCAGCAAACCACCACGGCACAUGUUUACCUACGUAACAAACCUGCAUUUUCUGCACAUGUAUCCCAGAACUUAAAGUAAAAGACAGAAAAGAAAAGAAAAGAAAAACUGUGACUUCCCAGCACAGAGAAGCCCUGGGUUAGGACCUUCACUCACCUGUCCCCACCCACUGGUCUUUUGUAAGGUCAGCAUUUGUAGGUGAAAUGGCCUGGGUGUAUUGUCCUUAUACCUCUUUCUCUUUGAUUGAAGACAGGAAUCACCCUCUAUAUUAUCCAUUAAAGAUAAAUUAAGACGUUUCUGGAUCUUCAUUUACGAUAGAGAGACCAUGGUGAGGAGAAAUGUGAAAGAUUUUUGCAAAGCCACUGUCAGACUGGGAGUAAUGAAGAGAUGAAGAAGAGGGCCAUGAGAAGUAGCCAGUUCUUGAGAGAGGGAAGGGCCAAUUUGAGAGAUGGAAGAGGAAAGUUUGGCCUGGCCCAAAGAAGAUCCUAUGUGAACAGAGAAGCCAGGUGUCCUGUUGGACUGAGCUCAAGAACAGGAUCUGAAGAGGGCCAGUGAAAGGACCUCGCUUCUCUAGCUGAAGGAACUGAGAGCAAGAACUGCAAUCCCUACUUGAGGAAAGGCUCUGGGAACGAGAAAUCAGAGGAGACACACUGUGCCAGGAAGGGCUCGAAUAGGGGAAACCAUCAGCCCAGCUGAGCACGGCCGACCCUCCACUUGCAACCUGCACAAGUCAGAAUUGAGUUCCUGCCCAGAGGAGCCUCACACACCAGUGAAGGCCCACUAGACAGGGGGUAUUCUUCUUUGUAACCCCACUCUCUGGAGGUACUAAGCAUAGAGUAAGUUAUUCAAUGUGGCUGAACAAAUAUAGCCUAUGCAGAAUGCCGCUAAUGCCUCAAUAUUUUCUCCAGUUUUUCCAGGGCAUUCUUAAUUUGAGACUCAUGGCCAAUCAAUAAACCCUGAUUUUUGGUUCAGAAAA